CUGCCCUGUGUGAAUCCUAGCUCUGCAACUUCACUCUUGUCCUCCAGUGGGAGAAAGGGAGGUUGUGAAUUUCCCGCCAGCACUUUAUGAGUAUGUGACUGGAGAACUUGGACUGGCCCUGGUGCUGGUUUUGAACAAGGUGGAUCUGGCCCCGCCAGCUCUUGUGGUUGCCUGGAAGCAUUAUUUCCAUCAACACUAUCCCCAGCUCCACGUCGUCCUUUUCACCUCUUUUCCUCGGGACCCCCGCACCCCACAGGAC
rnacentral:lncRNA from 1 species